UGGCGACCGGCGCACGGGUGAGUAACACGUAUCCAACCUGCCGAUGACUCGGGGAUAGCCUUUCGAAAGAAAGAUUAAUACCCGAUGGCAUAGUUCUUCCGCAUGGUAGAACUAUUAAAGAAUUUCGGUCAUCGAUGGGGAUGCGUUCCAUUAGGUUGUUGGCGGGGUAACGGGCCCACCAAGCCUUCGAUGGAUAGGGGUUCUGAGAGGAAGGCCCCCACCAUUGGAACUGAGACACGGUCCAAACUCCUACGGGAGGCAGCAUG
rnacentral:rRNA from 1 species